rnacentral:misc_RNA from 1 species
AAGUCGUAACAAGGUUUCCGUAGGUGAACCUGCGGAAGGAUCAUUACUGAAGAACAUGGAUUUUGAGACUGCCAUUAAGGUGUGCUCGAUCCUCACUCCUUCAUCCACACACACCUUUGUGCACCAUGGGACGCAAGUCCCCUUUUUCAUACAAACACUGAGUUAUAUGCAUGUAUUUUACAUACUCUAUGGAGUAUUAGAACAACUUUCAACAACGGAUCUCUUGGCUUUC